rnacentral:lncRNA from 1 species
GGUGCUGACUGCCACAGGAGAGCAGAGGCAAGGCAGCCACUGAAUGUUCCAGAAUGGAGAGGAGGGAAAACGUUGUGUUUAAAACUUCUUGUGGGAAAUGGCUACCCGGCACAGGCACAACUUCAAAAGCAGGAUGGUAGAAAUGGAAACCCGAGGGAGAGACUCCAAGGUUAUUGAGGAAAAGAAUCACAAGAUGUUUUUCUCUGAUCGUCUCUUUAUUGUCCUCGUUCCUGGUUGAAUUUUGAGCUGACCAGCAGAGCCUGAAGUCUGCCGAUUGUCGUCUCUACGAAGCAGAUGACUGAAUACGGAGUUUGAUAAAUGCAAGAAGUCAAAGCCAACAUCUGAAGAAAUUUCAGCUGGGAUGCUGAUGCAAUCUCUCUUAGACGAAAUGCUUGCUU